rnacentral:lncRNA from 1 species
UAGAAGUUGAUGGAUUAAAGGAGUGGGAAGAGUGGAUAAUAGAAGAAGGCUCCAUGCCUCUUCUCCAUACUCUCGAAAUUGAAUCUUGUCCAAAGUUAAAGGAGCUUCCUGAUGGGCUGCGAUUCAUCACUUCUUUGAAGAGUCUGACCUUUUAUAAUAUGGGAAAGAGAUGGGAGAAGAGACUGGCGAACGGAGGCAAAGAUUAUUACAAAGUCCAACACAUCCCUUCUGUUGAAUUCAUUUAAAGUUGAUCUCGGCAAUGAUGAGUCAGACAGCAGCUGAAGGAGACUCUCAGCAAUUACGGACUCUCAGGUAUAUAUUAUCUAGGAAUGAACUUCUCGGCAACUUCUUUGGAUUUUCUUAAAGUACACUUUAGCUAAUAGACUAAUCCGUUCGUCGGGUAACAACAGAGAAAUAUGAAGUGGGAGAAACGGGCCAGCCAUGCUAUCUAUAAGUUGAAGAACGUUUUCAGGCAUGCCCAAAGCAAUGUAUUUGCUGCAGCCAACAAGCAUGUAAAGGAUGAGCUGAGACUACAUAUUGUUCCAAGUCCUGAAGUGUUUCAAUCUAAGUCUUGAGACUACAUAAGGUUAACUGAAGCUUCGGUUUUCAGGCAACGCUUGGUUAACAUACAAGGACAAAAGCAAACUUACAUGAAUGAUGUUUUCAAACCAUCGUCAUAAUAAUACUGAUGAAGAAACCUUCAAACUUUCGUAUUGUGACUUGACUUAUUUCUUCACCAUUAGCUUUGAUGAAAAAUAGGGUCUCCUUACCAUCCACAAGACCAAGAAAAUAAUGAUUCUCGGACCAUAUUCCAGAAGUAAAUGAUCUUGAUAUGCUGGCAGAUACAGAGAACAAAUGUUAGAAGACCAUAGUAAGGUUUCACAAAACGAUGAAUUCACAUACUAUAUUAUGUGUAUCAAUGUAAUAACUAUAUUUAUUUAAAGUACACAUUUGCAUAAAAUCACAAAAGCUGGAAACAGGCAGGUUAAUUUAUUGUUUACCGAUAUCAGUUAUUUAAGUAUGAGAUAAAAAUGAUUAAAUUACAGUUAAAACAAACUAAAAUUCAAAAUUACAAAAGACAGCUAAAUAUAUAAAAGUUUUAUCUAGAUUAUUAAAACAAUGUAACUUGAUUUCAGUUGUUACAAAUCAGUAUCCAAUAGACAAUGAAAAAGAGUGAGUGGUGCUCGUGAUGGUGAUGGUGAUGGUGAUGGUGAUGGUGAGUGGUGUGGUGGAUUUGCUCUCAAUAUAGGGUCUGGUGGAGCUUUGGAGGGUCUACUAUGGCCUUGUGAUUGCUUGGGAAAAAAACAUAAGUAGACUGGAGGUGGAAGUUGAUUCUAAAAUGGUGGUGAGUUUUCUUACGACAGGGAUCGAGGAUACUCACUCACUGUCUUUUCUGAUACGCCUGUGCCAUGGCUUCUUGACGAGGGACUGGUUGGUUAGAAUUGUUCAUGUGUAUAGGGAAGCUAAGCUGAUGGUUUAGCUAACCUUGCUAUUUCUCUUCUUUUUGGUUUUCAUCAUUUUGAUAUUGUUCCGAUAGAGCUUGUUAGUUUGAUACGAGAGGACAUCGAUGGUUCAUUACGGCCACGACAAGUUCAAGAAGUUUGAAGUUUUCUUUUUAAUAAAAUUGGGAGGUUUUUUCCUAUCUUCCUACCAAAAAAAAAAAUAGACACUGAAAAAGAGUGGAAGAAGAUGAAAAAUAUAGAGUUGAUUACUUAAUGGGCCACAUUAUGUCUUUCUCUUACUCUUAAAGACACAUAGCACAUGUGAGGCACUUUCCCUUGCCCAAAGACAAAAAGUUGACUAAUAUACCCUUACCAAAGGCAGCUUGAUAUUUUGGUUCCCAAAAGGAAACCAGUUUGGUCUAUGGAGCUCGGUUUAGGUUUAGGUUUAUUGAUUGAAGUCACUUAAUUUAGACCGUCAGAUCUGGAUCUUGUGUUUCUAAUCAAAGGCCAAAAUUAAAACUUAAGAAGUAAGACAGCUAUGAUAAAGGACGUAAAUUUGUUGUGUUGGGUGUGGAGGAAGCCACUCUCGUUGUUAAAGUUUCUGUCUUUAUUGGAGCUGUUCUUGGCAAACAUUGAAGGUGUCGAUUUGUUCUUGUUUUGGGUUUGACAUUAAUCGAUCCAAGUCAUUCACUUUAACGCUUGAUAUUUGUGUUUCAGGUUGGUGCGAUGGAGGAUCAGUGCAUGGUCAUGUGCGGGGCUGUUGUUUGGGUGGGCACUAGCAUCGUAGAUGGGCGAAAGAGGACGAAGAGAUGGGGGAGUAGUUGGAUUGGUAGCAAAGGGGGGUGUGUUGAGAAUUGAGUUGGGGGAGGAGCAGAUGGGGGAGGUGUGGGGAAANNNNNNNNNNNNNNNNNNNNNNNNNNNNNNNNNNNNNNNNNNNNNNNNNNNNNNNNNNNNNNNNNNNNNNNNNNNNNNNNNNNNNNNNNNNNNNNNNNNNNNNNNNNNNNNNNNNNNNNNNNNNNNNNNNNNNNNNNNNNNNNNNNNNNNNNNNNNNNNNNNNNGUAGGGUUUGGUCGAAAUCGCCGCAAGGCGGAGUGACAGAGAUUGUGUGAAGAAGUGAAAGAGAUGAAAGGAUCUAGCUGGAACCGUCGAAGGAGAGACUGUGAAGAGAGUAGUUCUAGGGUUUGGUCGAAAUCGCCGCAAGGAGGCGUGAGAGAAAGAGAGAGAGAGAAUCGUAAAAGAGAGAGAAAUGUGUAAAUUUGAAUUAGAAAUUGGUUUGGUACAAAGGCAUAAACCGAUGUAUAGGAUUUUGUUCUGGUUUGGUUUUUCUACUUUCUCUACCAUAAGGGUAUAGAAGACAAUGACUAAGGAAGAAGUGUGUGACAUGUGCAAUGUGUCUUAGAGAGUAAAUCCAAAGACAUAAAGUGUCUUAGAAGGUAAAAAAUUCAAAAAUAUAAGGCUAUAAGCUAAUCAACAGAAAUGAUUAGUUUUAUUUUAUUCUAGUGAGCUUACUUUUUUCCUGGAAAUAUUUUAAAGAAUUUAAUUUAGCUAAUAUAUUCUAGUUUUCUAUACAUUUAUUAGUUUAUUAUUGAAUUCAAAAAUGAAAUAAUGUUAGUUAAUCCUAACACAAAAAAAAUUAAUAAAAAACUAAACUAAUUUUCAAAUUGUAUGGGGUCAGAUGACUUCCUCUUAACGUCCUGCCACGUAGGUAAAUAACAUAUCUAAUGGUUCUUGCCUAGCUUCACAAGAUUUUAAGAUUAUUGUCCUCAGGUGAUGUACGCCACUUCUCUUAUCGACAUGAUAUCAUUUCUGUUUUGGUUAAAUAGUAAAUACUUUCAUUUCCUGUUUCUUUGUUAAAAGUUUUUCCUUUCUAAACCAAAAAAAUUAUUAUUACAAAACACAUCUUGUUCGCUCAGACAUGACGAGGGAAACAAGGCCAAGAGAAAGUGACAUGAAACUCUUCAGCAAAAAAAAGAAAAAAAAACAUGAAUCAUUCACUCAACUUGCAUACAUCCAUGAACUUCUGGACUGCGUUAUGAUACUGAGUUCCCUGCAACCAUACAACAAACAUUAAGCAUUUCCUCAACAGUUUAUGUAUCUUCUUGAACUCGUAGUUAAAUUUCUGAUUUUGAUAAAUAUUCAUGGGCAAAUGAUAUAUAACAUCAAUAAAUGGAUGUAGACUACGUUGACAUGGCAAGACGGUAAGAAUUCACAUUCUUGUGGUUGCCGUUGAGAUUACAUGAUAAGACGAAGUUGGAAUUAGGAAAUCUGGUCAACCUGGAGACAUUGGAGUGUUUCUCCACAAAACAUGGGAGAGUGACAGAUCUAAAGGGUAUGACACGGCUCAGAUCUCUCUCUAUCUAUAUUGGAGACCAGAGGUAUACCAUGGAAACUCUAUCUUCAUCUCUCAGUAAACUUUCAGAUUUGGAGAGUCUUACUAUAGAUAACUACGACGGUUUUUAUACUCCCACGAAUGAUGAUGAAGAAGGAUUUGUUUGGGAUUUUUUUAAUCUCAAACAGUUGAAUUUGGAGAUAUAUAUGCCAAGGUUACCUGAUGCGCAACGCUUUCCUUCUCACCUUAAAACCAUUGAGCUAGCUUAUUGUUGUUUGACAGAGGACCCAAUGCCGAUUCUAGAGAAGUUGCUUCACUUGAAAGAGAUUAGGUUAUGGAGUAAGUCUUUCUGUGGGAGGAGAAUGGAUUGCUCAAGGGAUGGGUUUCCUCAAUUGCAGAAGCUAAGAUUUGAUGGAUUAGAGGAGUGGGAAGAGUGGAUAGUAGAAGAAGGCUCUAUGCCCCUUCUCUGUACUCUCUGGAUUUACGGAUGCAGAAAAUUAAAGGAGAUUCCUGAUGGGCUGCGAUUCAUCACUAACUUGGAGGAUCUGAUUGUUUAUGAUGUGGGAGAUGAAUUCGAUUUGAGAUUGUCGGAAGGAUACUUGCUUUCUCACCUUACAACCAUAUCUCUAAGUCGUUGUCGUUUGACAGAGGACCCAAUGCCUAUUUUAGAGAAGCUUCUUCACUUGAAAGAGAUUAGUUUACUUGAUCGAUCUUUCAGUGGGAGGAGAAUGGUUUGCUCGAGGGAUGGGUUUCCUCAAUUGCAGAAGCUAAAAUUUUAUGGAUUAAAGGAGUGGGAAGAGUGGAUAGUAGAAGAAGGUUCCAUGCCCCUUCUCUAUACUCUUGAUAUUUGGUCUUGCAGAGAAUUAAAGGAGAUUCCGUUCCGAUUCAUCACUUCCUUGCACGAUCUUGCUGUUGGUCAAUCAAGUAUUAGAUUGUUGGAAACCUGCUUGCCUUCUUUCCUUACAACCAUAUCUCUAAUUGAUUUUCGUUUGACAGAGGAUCAGAUGAUGAUUCUAGAGAAGUUGCUUCACUUGAAAGAUGUUCAGUUAAAUCGUUGUUUCUGUGGGGGAAGAAUGGUUUGCUCGAGGGGUGGGUUUCCUCAAUUGAAGAAUCUAAAAUUUAAGAGAUUAGAGGAGUGGGAAGAGUGGAUAAUAGAAGAAGGCUCCAUGCCUCUUCUCCAUACGCUCGAAAUUGAAUCUUGUCCAAAGUUAAAGGAGCUUCCUGAUGGGCUGCGAUUCAUCACUUCUUUGAAGAGUCUGACCUUUUAUAAUAUGGGAAAGAGAUGGGAGAAGAGACUGGCGAACGGAGGAAAAGAUUAUUACAAAGUCC